GAACAGGAACCUGGGGUGUAAACUGCAAUAAAACAUGCAGCAAUAAUUGUUUUAAUUCUUCAUGUGGGAGUAAAACUGGAUUAUGUAACAAAGGUUGUUCAGGAUACACUGAUUUCCCACUAUGUACUACAGAAUGCGAGUCAGGUUUCUGGGGUCUCAACUGCACCAACACGUGCGACAGAUGUGUGGACUCAUCAUGCGACAGCAAAUCUGGAUGGUGUGACAAAGGAUGUCUAGGCUUUGAAGAUCCUCCUUACUGCACCCUAACAUGUGCUGCUGAAUAUUGGGGAUUGAACUGUACAUACAAAUGCAACAGCUGUGUUGAAUUAUCGUGUGACAGUAUAACGGGAUUAUGUAAUAGUGGAUGUAUUGCUUCAACAAAUUGUACCUUAUUACAGAGAAACACUGAAAGUUUGUCUCAAAAGGCCAUUACAGCCAUUGCAGUAUCUGUAGCAUCAGUACUACUCAUAGCAAUUUUAAUUGGUCUUAUAACCUUGAAAG
rnacentral:sRNA from 1 species